UAGGGAAUAUUGCGCAAUGGGCGAAAGCCUGACGCAGCAAUACCGCGUGAGUGAGGAAGGUCUUCGGAUUGUAAAGCUCUGUCGGGAUGGAAAAAUGGCGUAGGAUCUAAUAGGUCUUACGAUUGAUGGUACAUCCAAAGGAAGCACCGGCUAACUUCGUGCCAGCAGCCGCGGUAAUACGAAGGGUGCAAGCGUUGUUCGGAUUUAUUGGGCGUAAAGCGCGCGCAGGCGGGUCAUUAAGUCAGAUGUGAAAUCUCAGGGCUCAACCCUGAAACUGCGUCUGAAACUGAUAAUCUAGAAUGUCGGAGAGGGAAGGGGAAUUUCACAUGUAGGGGUAAAAUCCGUAGAUAUGUGAAGGAAUACCAGAGGCGAAGGCGCCUUCCUGGACGAUGAUUGACGCUGAGGCGCGAAAGCGUGGGGAGCAAACA
rnacentral:rRNA from 1 species